rfam:Schistosoma haematobium scaffold767_4, whole genome shotgun sequence.
ACUCGUAGUUGGGUCUGGAUCGUGCGUUCGCAUUCCGCUGUUUGUUCACAAUUUUGGUUCAGUCGUUUCUACGUUAAAUGGGUGCUGAUGGGUUGACGAUUUCGUCUUGUUGAUCUGUUAGCAUACUUUCGGGUGCUUUUAAACGGAUGUCGAAAGUGGAUGGCAUAUUUGAGUGCUUAAAGUAGGUCUAUGCGCCUGAAAAUUUCCUCAUGGAGUAAUGAAAUAGGACUUCGCUUCUAUUUUGUUGGUUUUGGAUCUGAAGUAAUGGGUAAGAGAGACAGACGGGGUCAUUUGUAUGGCAGUGUUAGAGAUGAAAUUCUGGGAUCAACGCCAGACAAACUACAGCGAAAGCACUUACCAAGAAUGAUUUAAUUGAUCAGGAGCAAACGUCAGAGUUUCGGAGACGAUCAAAUACCAUCGUAGUUCUGACCAUAAACGAUGCCGACUGACGAUCCGCGUUGAUUCUAUAAUUGACAUCGCGAGCAAUCUUUGGGC